rnacentral:rRNA from 1 species
GAUGAACGCUGGCGGCGUGCUUAACACAUGCAAGUCGAACGGAAAGGCCCUGCUUUUGUGGGGUGCUCGUGUGCCGCACGCGUGAGUAACACGUGUGUAUCCUGCCCUUGUCUUUGGGAUAACUUCACGAAACUGGGGCUAAUACCGGAUAGGAGCUCCUGCUGCAUGGUGGGGGUUGGAAAGUUUCGGCGGUUGGGGCUGGACUGGCGGCUUACCAGCUUGUUGGUGGGGUAGUGGCUUACCAAGGCUUAGACGGGUAGCCGGCCUGGGAGGGGGACCGGCGACAUGAGGCCUGAGGGAGGCCGCAGAAGCCAACGGGAGGCAGUAGUGGAAAGUAUGGCGCAGUGGGGGGGAGUCUGAGGCGACGGCGCCGCGAUCGGGAAGACGGCUUUCGGGUUAUGAACCGCUUUCGCCUGAGACGAAGCGUUAGUGACGGUAAUGAAUAAAGAAGCACCGGCUAACUACGUG